UACGUAGGGUGCAAGCGUUGUCCGGAAUUAUUGGGCGUAAAGAGCUCGUAGGUGGUUUGUCGCGUUGUCCGUGAAAACUCACAACUCAAUUGUGGGCGUGCGGGCGAUACGGGCAGUCUGGAGUACUGCAGGGGAGACUGGAAUUCCUGGUGUAGCGGUGAAAUGCGCAGAUAUCAGGAGGAACACCGGUGGCGAAGGCGGGUCUCUGGGCCGAUACUGACGCUGAGGAGCGAAAGCGUGGGGAGCGAACAGG
rnacentral:rRNA from 1 species